rnacentral:siRNA from 1 species
AGUUUAUCUUUUGGUGUAUCAC